CGGGCAGUUUGAACGAGCAGAAGUUGGCGGAACGGUGGUGGGUUCGGGAUUGUGGUCGUGAUUGUAGGGCUGAGGCCUCGGGCGCUGGCAGUAACCAGCUAACAUGGCUUCAACACAGUGUGACCCUCGGCUGCUGCUGGAAGACAAGGUGAGGAAAUUGUCAGAAGAUCUUGCUCAGUGUCAGGCUGAUAAAGAAUUUGUGUGGUCAUUGUGGAAACGUUUGCAGGUAGCAAAUCCUGACCUCACACAGGCCAUCAGCUUGGUUCUAGAAAGAAGUGGGGAUGAUUCACAACUCCUGAGAGACUGAAAAAGUGUUCGUAUGUUACAAGAUCUGGACAACGAUAAUCAUUGAACUCACUACUACCAACAUUCUUGUGUCUACCAUUGAGUGGAAACUGAACUGGAAGAGCCAUAUACAUUUUGUGGCCACAAGGACAGGUCAGAGGCAAGAAAUCUUGUGGCAAGAAAUUCAUCUCCUCACUCACUAAAGCCUGUCCACUGUUGACAAGGCAAAAAUCAGUAAUGUGAUGGGAUACAAUCCAACAUUCAUUUCCUCCAUCUAUGACAGAUAAUGGCAGAAGUUUGUACCACCUACAAGAUUCACUGCAGCAGCUCACCAAGGCUAAUAUAGCAGCAUCUUCUGAAACCACAACUUGCACCAUUGAGAAGGAUGAGGGCAGUAAAUUACUGGGAACUCAGCUCCAACAACCAGCAAGUUCACCUCCACACACCAUCCUGAGUUGAAAUUAUAUUACCACUCCUUCACUGUUUCUGGCUCAGAAUUCUGGAGUGCCCUCCCUAACAACACGGUGCCUGUACCUAAAUCCCAAAGGCUGCAGUGAUUCAACAAGGCAGCUCACCAUCAAUCUCUCAAAGGCAGUUCGGUUUGGGCAAAAAUGAAUGGUCCAGCCAAUAUGUCUCCACAUUCCACAAACAAAUAACUGAAAAAGAAAACAUGAUUAAUGUGUGCAAUUGACCUUUUGGAUUAAAAUUCAUAAAUUCAUAGUCAUACAGCAUAGAAACAGCCCCUUCUAUCCAACUAGUCCAUGUUGACCAUGUUCCCAAACUAAACUCAUCCC